ACUUUUCAGCUAGAGUAUGAUAGAGGAAAGCAGAAUUUCUAGUGUAGAGGUGAAAUUCGUAGAUAUUAGAAAGAAUACCAAUUGCGAAGGCAGCUUUCUGGAUCAUUACUGACACUGAGGAACGAAAGCAUGGGUAGCGAAGAGGAUUAGAUACCCUCGUAGUCCAUGCCGUAAACGAUGUGUGUUAGACGUUGGAAAUUUAUUUUCAGUGUCGCAGGGAAACCGAUAAACACACCGCCUGGGGAGUACGACCGCAAGGUUAAAACUCAAAUGAAUUGACGGGGACCCGCACAAGUAGUGGAGCAUGUGGUUUAAUUCGAAGAUACGCGCAGAACCUUACCAACACUUGACAUGUUCGUCGCGACUCUAAGAGAUUAGAGUUUUCGGUUCGGCCGGACGAAACACAGGUGCUGCAUGGCUGUCGUCAGCUCGUGUCGUGAGAUGUUGGGUUAAGUCCCGCAACGAGCGCAACCCUCACUUUUAGUUGCCAUCAUUAAGUUGGGCACUCUGAAAGAACUGCCAGUGAUAAGCUGGAGGAAGGUGGGGAUGACGUCAAGUCCUCAUGGCCCUUACGUGUUGGGCUACACACGUGCUACAAUGGUAUCUACAACAGGAAGCAAGACUGCGAAGUUAAGCAAAUCCCUAAAAGAUACCUCAGUUCGGAUUGCACUCUGCAACUCGAGUGCAUGAAGCUGGAAUUACUAGUAAUCGUGGGAUCAGCGUGC
rnacentral:rRNA from 1 species